GAUGAACGCUGGCGGCGUGCCUAAUACAUGCAAGUCGAGCGAACACACGAUGAGCGUUCUCCUCUAACGUUAGCGGCUGACGGGUGAGUAACACGUGGAUAACCUACCUAUAUUACUUGGAGAACUUCGGGAAACCGGAGCUAAUACCGGAUAAUAUAUUCAACGGCUUGGUUCAGUAGUGAAUGACGGUUUUGCUGUCACUUUUAGAUGAUUCCGCGCCGCAUUAGCUAGUUGGUAAGGUAACGGCUUACCAAGGCAACGAUGCGUAGCCGACCUGAGAGGGUGAUCGGCCACACUGGAACUGAGACACGGUCCAGACUCCUACGGGAGGCAGCAGUAGGGAAUAUUCCGCAAUGGGCGAAAGCCUGACGGAGCAACGCCGCGUGAGUGAUGAAGGUCUUCGGAUUGUAAAACUCUGUUAUUAGGGAAGAAAAACUGUGUAAGUAAAUAUGCACGUCUUGACGGUACCUAAUCAGAAAGCAACGGCUAACUACGUG
rnacentral:rRNA from 1 species